rnacentral:rRNA from 1 species
AGUGAACGCUGGCGGUAGGCCUAACACAUGCAAGUCGAACGGCAGCACAGAGGAGCUUGCUCCUUGGGUGGCGAGUGGCGGACGGGUGAGGAAUACAUCGGAAUCUACUCUGUCGUGGGGGAUAACGUGGGGAAACUUACGCUAAUACCGCAUACGGCCUACGGGUGAAAGCAGGGGACCUUCGGGCCUUGCGCGAUUGAAUGAGCCGAUGUCGGAUUAGCUAGUUGGCGGGGUAAAGGCCCACCAAGGCGACGAUCCGUAGCUGGUCUGAGAGGAUGAUCAGCCACACUGGAACUGAGACACGGUCGAGACUCCUACGGGAGGCAGCAGUGGGGAAUAUUGGACAAUGGGCGCAAGCCUGAUCCAGCCAUACCGCGUGGGUGAAGAAGGCCUUCGGGUUGUAAAGCCCUUUUGUUGGGAAAGAAAUCCAGCUGGCUAAUACCCGGUUGGGAUGACGGUACCCAAAGAAUAAGCACCGGCUAACUUCGUGCCAGCCGCCGCCGUAA